GAUGAACGCUGUCUACAGGCUUAACACAUGCAAGUCGAGGGGAAACGACGGGGAAGCUUGCUUCCCCGGGCGUCGACCGGCGCACGGGUGAGUAACGCGUAUCCAACCUGCCUCUGACUGAGGGAUAACCCGUCGAAAGUCGGCCUAAUACCUCAUGGCAUCGUCUGCGGGCAUCCAACGACGAUUAAAGAUUUCAUCGGUCAGGGAUGGGGAUGCGUCUGAUUAGCUUGUUGGCGGGGUAACGGCCCACCAAGGCUACGAUCAGUAGGGGUUCUGAGAGGAAGGUCCCCCACAUUGGAACUGAGACACGGUCCAAACUCCUACGGGAGGCAGCAGUGAGGAAUAUUGGUCAAUGGGCGGGAGCCUGAACCAGCCAAGUAGCGUGCAGGAUGACGGCCCUAUGGGUUGUAAACUGCUUUUAUGCGGGGAUAAAGUGAGGGACGUGUCCUUCAUUGCAGGUACCGCAUGAAUAUGGACCGGCUAAUUCCGUG
rnacentral:rRNA from 1 species